AAAACAUACAGCUUUUGGAAAAGAGAAGAAAAAUGAAGACUUUUUACAGAAGACCGAAAUACCUAGUUUACUAUAAAGAUAAUUCACUGUGGAGGAAGCUAGCAGCCAGGCUAGAAGCCCAUGUGGUGAGGAACUGAGGCCUCCCACAGACAGCCAUGUGAGUGAGCAAUCUGAAAGUGGCACCUUCAGCCCCAGUCGGGCCAUCAGAUGAAACUGCAGUAUCAGCCAGUAUCCUAACUACAACCUCCUGAGAGGCUCUGAGCCAGCCCCCACCAGAUUUUGAACUUGGUCACAGUAUUUGACCUCUGAGUCUCAGUGUCAUCAUCUGGAAAAGGU